GAGAAUUCCAGCAGAUCUUUAGCAUGCGAUAAGCGGAUGACAAGGAUUCCCCUAGGAUUUCCGUAGUAAGCGGGAGUGAAUCGGGAAAAAAUCAAACAGUAAUUUGGUGGUCCUUGGCCAUCCGAGUUGUAAUUUAGAGAAGUGUCUUCCGGGCAUGGGACCAUGUAUAAGUUCCUGGGAAUGGAGCGUCACAGAGGGUGAGAAUCCCGUCUUUGCACAUGAUGCACCAGGGCUUUGUGGUGUGCUUUUAAAGAGGUGAGUUGUUUGGGAAAGCAACUUCAAAAGGGGGGUUAACUCCCUUCAAAAGUUAAAUUUGGGGGAGAGACCGAUAGUGAAACAAGUACCGUGAGGGAAAGAUGAAAAGCACUUUGGAAAGAGAGUGAAACAGUAUGUGAAAUUGUUGAAAGGGAAACGCUUGAAGUCAGUUAUGUCGCCUAGGGAUCAGCCUUGCUGUGGCUUGGUGGGUUUAUUUCCCGACGGGUCAGCAUCAAUUUUGCCCCUUGGAUAAUGGCGGGGGAAAGGUAACGCCUCACCGGGUGGGGUAUAGUCUCUCUUUGCAAGCAAGGCAGGGGGUGAGGAGGUCAGCGCGCGCCGUGGGGCGUGGGUUUUGACCCACGUACA
rnacentral:rRNA from 1 species